ensembl:lncRNA
GUCACCGCAAAAUUGAGGAAAGGAAUAUGUUUGACAUUUUUUCGGAAGAAAACUACGAAAAACUAUUUAUAGUAUGUUUUAAACCAGUUGUUGCUGUUGAUAUAUAAUUUAUUCAGACACCGUGUCACCUGUCAGGAGUUGCAGCUAAAGUAAAAACCACAAAAGAAGCGGAAGUGGGAAGUGGAAGUGGAAAAGUAACAGGAUGCAUUCACUUGUUUAUUGUUCAAGGAUACAUCCAAAGAGGCAUCUUUUUGACUUGGAUUCAACGCAGGAUCCGAUGCAGUUUGACAGAACAACCUUUUGAAGAGCUCUGACCUUCUGAUGACCCUCCACAGUGUGAAACAUAGGAGUGGCUGCAGACCCAAGUGUGAGUGUCUGCACUCUGUCUGCUGCACAAACAAUCAGAUUUCACCUUGAGCGCUUUCGUGUCUCUCUCUGUACCAGCAUGGACGAAGCCCUCAUGGG